rnacentral:rRNA from 1 species
GACGAACGCUGGCGGCGUGCUUAACACAUGCAAGUCGAACGAGAAGAGAUGAGAAGCUUGCUUCUUAUUGAUUCGAGUGGCAAACGGGUGAGUAACGCGUAAGCAACCUGCCCUUCAGAUGGGGACAACAGCUGGAAACGGCUGCUAAUACCGAAUACGUUCUCUUUAUCGCAUGGCAGAGGGAAGAAAGGGAGGCUCUUCGGAGCUUUCGCUGAAGGAGGGGCUUGCGUCUGAUUAGCUAGUUGGAGGGGUAACGGCCCGACCAAGGCGACGAUCAGUAGCCGGUCUGAGAGGAUGAACGGCCACAUUAGGGACUGAGACACGGCCCAGACUCCUACGGAGGCAGCAGUGGGAAUCUUCCGCAAAUGGACGAAAGUCUGACGGAGCAACGCCGCGUGAACGAUGACGGCCUCGGUGUAAAGUUCUGUUAUACGGACGAAUGGUACGACGGUCAAUACCCGUCCGUAAGUGACGGUACCGUAAGAGAAAGCC